rnacentral:rRNA from 1 species
UACGUUCCCGGGCCUUGUACACACCGCCCGUCACACCAUGGGAGCGGGUUUUACCAGAAGUAGGUAGCUUAACCGUAAGGAGGGCGCUUACCACGGUAGGAUUCGUGACUGGGGUG